rnacentral:rRNA from 1 species
AAAUUGAAGAGUUUGAUCAUGGCUCAGAUUGAACGCUGGCGGCAGGCCUAACACAUGCAAGUCGAACGGUAACAGGAAGAAGCUUGCUUCUUUGCUGACGAGUGGCGGACGGGUGAGUAAUGUCUGGGAAACUGCCUGAUGGAGGGGGAUAACUACUGGAAACGGUAGCUAAUACCGCAUAACGUCGCAAGACCAAAGAGGGGGACCUUCGGGCCUCUUGCCAUCGGAUGUGCCCAGAUGGGAUUAGCUUGUUGGUGGGGUAACGGCUCACCAAGGCGACGAUCCCUAGCUGGUCUGAGAGGAUGACCAGCCACACUGGAACUGAGACACGGUCCAGACUCCUACGGGAGGCAGCAGUGGGGAAUAUUGCACAAUGGGCGCAAGCCUGAUGCAGCCAUGCCGCGUGUAUGAAGAAGGCCUUCGGGUUGUAAAGUACUUUCAGCGGGGAGGAAGGGAGUAAAGUUAAUACCUUUGCUCAUUGACGUUACCCGCAGAAGAAGCACCGGCUAACUCCGUGCCAGCAGCCGCGGUAAUACGGAGGGUGCAAGCGUUAAUCGGAAUUACUGGGCGUAAAGCGCACGCAGGCGGUUUGUUAAGUCAGAUGUGAAAUCCCCGGGCUCAACCUGGGAACUGCAUCUGAUACUGGCAAGCUUGAGUCUCGUAGAGGGGGGUAGAAUUCCAGGUGUAGCGGUGAAAUGCGUAGAGAUCUGGAGGAAUACCGGUGGCGAAGGCGGCCCCCUGGACGAAGACUGACGCUCAGGUGCGAAAGCGUGGGGAGCAAACAGGAUUAGAUACCCUGGUAGUCCACGCCGUAAACGAUGUCGACUUGGAGGUUGUGCCCUUGAGGCGUGGCUUCCGGAGCUAACGCGUUAAGUCGACCGCCUGGGGAGUACGGCCGCAAGGUUAAAACUCAAAUGAAUUGACGGGGGCCCGCACAAGCGGUGGAGCAUGUGGUUUAAUUCGAUGCAACGCGAAGAACCUUACCUGGUCUUGACAUCCACAGAACUUUCCAGAGAUGGAUUGGUGCCUUCGGGAACUGUGAGACAGGUGCUGCAUGGCUGUCGUCAGCUCGUGUUGUGAAAUGUUGGGUUAAGUCCCGCAACGAGCGCAACCCUUAUCCUUUGUUGCCAGCGGUCCGGCCGGGAACUCAAAGGAGACUGCCAGUGAUAAACUGGAGGAAGGUGGGGAUGACGUCAAGUCAUCAUGGCCCUUACGACCAGGGCUACACACGUGCUACAAUGGCGCAUACAAAGAGAAGCGACCUCGCGAGAGCAAGCGGACCUCAUAAAGUGCGUCGUAGUCCGGAUUGGAGUCUGCAACUCGACUCCAUGAAGUCGGAAUCGCUAGUAAUCGUGGAUCAGAAUGCCACGGUGAAUACGUUCCCGGGCCUUGUACACACCGCCCGUCACACCAUGGGAGUGGGUUGCAAAAGAAGUAGGUAGCUUAACCUUCGGGAGGGCGCUUACCACUUUGUGAUUCAUGACUGGGGUGAAGUCGUAACAAGGUAACCGUAGGGGAACCUGCGGUUGGAUCACCUCCUUACCUUAAAGAAG